UACGUAGGGGGCGAGCGUUGUCCGGAUUUAUUGGGCGUAAAGAGCGUGUAGGCGGCCAGGUAGGUCUGCUGUGAAAACUCGAGGCUCAACCUCGAGACGUCGGCGGAAACCAUCUGGCUAGAGUCCGGAAGAGGAGAGUGGAAUUCCUGGUGUGAGCGGUGGAAUGCGCAGAUAUCAGGAAGAACACCCGUGGCGAAGGCGGCUCUCUGGAACGCAACUGACGCUGAGACGCGAAAGCGUGGGGAGCAAACAGG
rnacentral:rRNA from 1 species